rnacentral:rRNA from 1 species
AUGGUGCGCAGCCUCCUGAAGGCCAUGGAUGUGUCGUGCAUGUUCUGGGGUGAAGCCGUGCGCACCGCAGUGCACAUUAUGAACCGGUCGCCAGCCAGGAGCCUACAGGGCAUUACUCCAUACGAGGCGUGGCGCAAGAAAAAGCCGGCGGUGGACUACUUCCGCACCUUCGGAUGCGUCGCACAUGUCAAGCUCGUCGGCCCCGGCGUGACCAAGCUGGCGGACAGAUCGCGCCCGGGGAUUUUCCUCAGAUACGAGCUGGGCACAAAGGGCUAUCGGGUGUACGACCCGGUCGGCAAGCGCUUGUUCAUCACACGGGACGUGCGUUUUGAGGAAGACCGGCGCUGGAACUGGAGCAAGGACGGUGGCGACCCGGAGCAUGCUCGUGAGUUCACGGUCGUAUACACCGAUGUGGAUGUGCCCGUGGCAACCACCUACUCUGUGUCGCCGGGCGCAGCGGUGCCACCACCGGCGCCUUCAUCACCGACUUCGUCAAGCUCGCCGUCGUUGCCAAGCACGCCGCCCUCGCCAAGCUCACCACAGACGCCCAUGUUGGGCGGGUCCGCUGUGGGCACGUCAAGCGCGGAGAGGACGCCAGUCUCAGCGGGUGCAAGUCCAUGCACACCAGCAAGAUUCUACGAUCCAGAAGACGGGUGGGUGACUCCGCCCACCGGCGAGGACUUCGACGCCGAGGGGGUGCCCGUCCGUUUCAAGAAUAUGGAGUAUGUCAUCGACCAUGCACCGGAGUGCACUUUGGAGUACAUCGGCCUUUGUCUCUCUGCUGCAGAGGAACCCGCGUCUGUCGAAGAUGCACUGGAUGAGCCUGCCUGGCGCAGCGCAAUGGAGGCAGAGAUGGACUCGAUCCGCUCCAACAGCACCUGGUCUCUUGCCUCCCUGCUCGCCGGACAUCGCGCCAUUGGACUGAAGUGGGUGUUCAAGGUGAAGCGCGAUCCAUAUGGAAAUAUUGUGAAGCACAAAGCUCGUCUGGUGGCAAAGGGAUAUGCACAGAGACAGGGGGUGGAUUUUGACGAAGUGUUCGCUCCUGUAGCUCGCCCGGAAACAGUGAGACUGUUGCUUGCAGUGGCAGCACAACGGCGGUGGUCAGUUCAUCACAUGGAUGUGCGCUCUGCUUUCCUGAAUGGGGAACUGCAGGAAGAAGUUUAUGUGCAUUAG